GGGACAGAGCCUGAGGUAGAGAGGCAGUGAGAGUGGGACAGAGCCUGAGGUAGAGAGGCAGUGAGAGUGGGACAGAGGGUGAGGUAGAGAGGCAGUGAGAGUGGGACAGAGGGUGAGGUAGAGAGGCAGUGAGAGUGGGACAGAGGGUGAGGUAGAGAGGCAGUGAGAGUGGGACAGAGGGUGAGGUAGAGAGGCAGUGAGAGUGGGACAGAGGGUGAGGUAGAGAGGCAGUGAGAGUGGGACAGAGGGUGAGGUAGAGAGGCAGUGAGAGUGGGACAGAGGGUGAGGUAGAGAGGCAGUGAGAGUGGGACAGAGGGUGAGGUAGAGAGGCAGUGAGAGUGGGACAGAGGGUGAGGUAGAGAGGCAGUGAGAGUGGGACAGAGCCUGAGGUAGAGAGGCAGUGAGAGUGGGACAGAGGGUGAGGUAGAGAGGCAGUGAGAGUGGGACAGAGCCUGAGGUAGAGAGGCAGUGAGAGUGGGACAGAGGGUGAGGUAGAGAGGCAGUGAGAGUGGGACAGAGGGUGGGAGAGAGGCAGUGAGAGUGGGACAGAGGGUGGGAGAUGCAAGAGUUUGUGUCGUCUUUCUCAUAUUUCUUGCCUCUCCACACAUUUAACUCUCCACAAAUAUUAGAGUGUAGCUUUCCAGGAAAAAGGGAAGAAAAGGGAGAGAGGGAAGGAGGAGGUUGGGACUCUUACUGGAAACUUCCAGGCUGCUGUGAUUGCCAGGUAGAACUGUGAGCCAAGAGGGUGAAGAACUGGGUCUCCUCACUCUCCUAAAGACACUCUCAUGAAUAACUACACCAACUCCACGCAUCCGCUGCUCCUCGGGAACCUUCGCCAGCUGAAUCAGGUGUCUUAGAGCUGAAUCAAAAGCCUGCAUACCUAGUAUCCCCUGCAGGAGGACGGCUGCUAGAGUUCAGAAAAUGGUUUCAGCAGUUAGACAUGUUUUUCUUUCCUGUGGGAAACCUGGGGGAGUGUUUCUCUGUGUUCUUUGCUCCACUGAGGACUGUAGUGUAAUAGGAGAUCAGGGAAUAAUAGGGACAGAUAUGUUAUCCUGAUGUCUGUCCGCACAGUCAUACCGGAGUUGUUACUGUUCCGUCGGUAGGAAGGCCUGAUUCGGGGUUACAGUAAUAUGCACCGUGACCGUAGACCGGACCUUCCAUUCAUGUCUAUCAGCCUCUAUCUACAAUACACUUCCUUUCACCUGACUC